CACGUAGGGGGCGAGCGUUGUCCGGAUUUACUGGGCGUAAAGAGCGCGCAGGCGGUCGGAUUAGUCGCGUGUGAAAGCCCCCGGCUCAACUGGGGAGGGUCACGCGAUACUGUUCGACUCGAAGGCAGGAGAGGGAAGUGGAAUUCCCGGUGUAGUGGUGAAAUGCGUAGAUAUCGGGAGGAACACCAGUGGCGAAGGCGACUUCCUGGCCUGUUCUUGACGCUGAGGCGCGAAAGCUAGGGUAGCAAACGGG
rnacentral:rRNA from 1 species